CAACAUUACUCCUUUUACAUUUAGGCAAGGGUAAAGUUCGUUCGUUGAAUUUUGGUGAAGAAGCCAUUAUCAAUGAAAUUGAAAGCGAUGUGCAGAUGUAAUCACCAACAACUUGAUUUUCACGUUUGCUAGCGUCAGGAAUACGUCUAAAAAGAUAUUGUGAUAAAAGUCAUCUCAUAAAAAUCUAUUGUAUUUAAUUAUUGGUGGAAGAUUUUCUUCGACAUUUCCACCGGCUGCUGGUUCAGGAAUAUGCAACAAAGGACAAAUACUCUGCAGCAAGGGGACGCAUCUCGCAAGAAGCCCGCAAGUCUCUCAUCAAUUUUCAUUCAAUAGCUUCAAGUUUUGUCAACGCCACAAACGAAGAAUAAUGUUUACGAAGCUGAAAGCCACAUGUUUUUGAUGAAGCAGCCAUUGGCAAUGAACUUUUAACAUGCAAUUGGCAUAGAAGAAAGCGAUCCGUUUUCAAACUGUGAAUUUGUUAGUUUAUGGAAAGUAUUGGUGGUUUUCAUAUGCGUCAUGCUGAUGGACUCCUUACAAAAUAAUAUCAUUGGAUUCCCUUUGCUCUUAGGCGACAUGGUGGAUGCCCUUUCUUUGUUUGUUAUUCCCUUGAGACACACAUGAAAACCAAGAAUUGCUGUUUUCAAAAUUAUAAUUGUUUGCUUGAUGAGGUGAAGACAACAAAGAGCGACUCGCAGUUUUGGCAGAAAAACGUGUAAAGUAAAUUUGGAAUAUGAGAUAUAUUGACGUCGGACAUUUCUCGUUUUGCUUCCUUUGCAACAUAACGCUAUUUAUAUUUCGGCAAGGUCACAAUUCGUUUCUUGAAGUUUGGUGAAGAAGCCAUUUUUAAUGAAAGCGAUGUGGAGAUAUAUUCACCAACAACUUGAUUUUCACGUUUGCUAGCGUCAGGAAUACGUUUAAAAAAGAUCCCACAUGGAUAGAGUUGUGAAAGUCCC